CCUGUCCCUGUCCCCGUCCCGGUCCCGGGGGGCGCCGUGACCCCGCCCGGCUCCCGCGGGCGGGCGGGCGGGUGGCCGAAAGCGCUGGCGGGGCAGGGAGCGGGGUGCUGACCCCCCCCCAGCCCCCCAUCCCCGGGCCGCGGCACCUUCCCCCGCAGAACGGCGGCCCUGCCCCGGGGCAGCGUGUUCCCUGCCCUCACCCCCGCGCGAAAGGGACGUCCCCCCACGCGUGAGGGGAAGGUGGUGAGGGCGGAAGGCGGGGAGCAACGUUCAGGGGGUGAAUAAGGGACCAACGGGCACAGGGGUUCUCAAGAUGUAUGAGAACUUGGAUGAGGGGGAGUGGUUCAGACGUACAAGUUGCAGGAAUGACCGCAGUCCACAAGGGGAUGUGACUCCAAAAGGUGCGAAUUCAAAAGGCGGGUACUGUGCCGGCACUCAUCACGCCGUCAAUGACGAGUUACCUCAGAAGUAGGGAAGGCGGGUGGUGGUCAUGGCCAUUCCUGAGAACGUGCCCAUCUCUACAGCUUCACAGUCAAGCGUACAGCCACUCCUCAACGUGAUCUCAUAAGUUACCUCAUGGUUUCUGUACUUGUAAGUUCAGAGUGUGACACGGAAGUUGUGAUGGCAGCACAUGCAAGGGAGGCGUUAGGCAUGCCUUGGUGGGGAAGAAGUGCUGUCCCAACAUUAAGGAAGACACGUGGGAAGUGGAGAGAAACUUCAUAAGAGAAAGCUGUCACUGCCAUGGAUCUAAUGCAUGUUGGAGCUCCAGCUGCCCCCAGAUCCAGUGGAACAGAAUAAUAUGGCACAGGUCUUUGAAAUAUGGUGGGAGAGCCAGUAAACCCCUGUGGAAGGCCAGUCCUUGUCAACUGUUGUCCCAGGUGAAAGCAAGCAAAGGUUGGGUUUCUUCAUCUACGGGAAUACUGAAGAAUGCUGUGGUCAAAUCUGACCCAGGAGAACACUGAGCCCAGUGUGGUAUUUGCAAGCGUGCAGUAGAGGGGUCUGGAACUAUGGGGUGUGGGACGAUAACAUACGGGUUCAUUGCUCUAGAAUUUUGAACCGAUCGAAGCUCAGGCUCCUCGUCUUUAAGCCAAUCUGGUUUUGUCUUACUGGUAACAUUGGGGUAUUAUACGGGGAUUCACACGCUUUCAAGAUUCCUCGGGUAAGCUACUGAUCUAUUUGGUUUUGAAUACUUUUCUCUGCUUCCCGGGGACGGGGUGCUGCUUUACAGCAGAGGGCGCGCCUCCCUCGGAUUUCACAUCUAUCGGCUGGGCCGAUCGCAGCAGCCCCACGCCAGCUCCCGAUUUACUCCACAAUUCCCCGGGCACUGCUUCCAGGGGUUUUGGUAUCUCUAGGGUCGGGACACUGGACUUCAGAUAUUACGCAUACCCCUGUGAUUGUAGAAUCAGUACCCCUGGGUGAUAGAUGUAAUUGUACAUCCAGGGUUUGGAGGAGAUCUCUUCCUAAUAAACAAGCUGGGGCCCCUUCUGCUGUUACAAAUCUUCCCCACACCUCUUUAUUUCCGAUUGUUAAUAGUAGUGGUUUACUUAAAACAUGUUCUCCUUUUCCCAUUAGCCCUUGAAUUAAUAGUUUGUCCUCUGAUAUAGAUCCCUUUAGUACAAAAUUUAAGUGAUAAUGUUGCUCCCGUGUCAACUGAAAAUUCAACUUCCUCUCCUGUUUUCCCGAUUAUGUUCCUUAUGAUUCAGCCGAGUUUGCUACAUCCCACAGACUCCAAUUUCCACAGAAUCUUCUGAGUCCACUGCCUCCAGCCAUUGCAGAUGACUUCAUGAUUCCUGUCUCACACCUCCCAUGUCCAGUUCCCUUGGAGGCCCCCUCAGAUGAAGCAGGCAUUCUCUUUGCCACCAAUCAGGUUUCCCACAGUAAUGACACUUUUCCGCCCAGUUAUUUCCAGGUUUUCUCAUUCCUCUUCCAAAUCUCUGGUCUGACCUACCUCUUCCCCUUUUUUGUUCUCUUCAAGGGAAAAAUCCCUUCCCUCACCCUCUUGGUUGUAAACCGUGUGCCAGUGCUGUCACAGAAAGACUAGCUUCUUGUUGCUUUUCCUGGUUUUUUUCCUUUGCAAGUUCUGCUCUGUGUUUUUCCUUCCGUCCACUGAACAUAAACACCACCACACUUAAGAUCUUUUGUAAUGUCUCCGCUUGCCACCCAGGCACAUGUUCUUUAAAAUAUUCCCAUCUGUCUGGGG